rnacentral:rRNA from 1 species
AAAUUGAAGAGUUUGAUCAUGGCUCAGAUUGAACGCUGGCGGCAGGCCUAACACAUGCAAGUCGAACGGUAACAGGAAGCAGCUUGCUGCUUCGCUGACGAGUGGCGGACGGGUGAGUAAUGUCUGGGAAACUGCCUGAUGGAGGGGGAUAACUACUGGAAACGGUAGCUAAUACCGCAUAAUGUCGCAAGACCAAAGAGGGGGACCUUCGGGCCUCUUGCCAUCGGAUGUGCCCAGAUGGGAUUAGUUUGUUGGUGGGGUAACGGCUCACC